rnacentral:lncRNA from 1 species
GUUGGAGUCCCUGUGCUUGCUCCACGGCCCGCUCCUUGAUUGGUCGCUGCAAGGACAGUUGGCAAGAAAUUGUACUGGUGGCUGCCUGAAAUCUGCUUAGCUCCUGCCUGAGUAUAUGUACAUGGUAACUGUGCAAUAAAGUCAGACCUGCUUCCUGCUUGGUCUCCGGAGAUCUUCAAUAGUGACUCCGCAGCCACACUCUCCUCUACCCUGUUCCAUGGACCUCCUCUCUGGAUGAGACGGAGCCCAUCACCUGGCACCCGAACAGGGAUCUGAGGUAAGUCUACACGAAAGGGUGUGGCCCCUCACAGAGCAGUGAGGAAGGGGAAAUGGGAACCUACCGAGUUCCACCGCAGACUCACAGCUGCAAGUGCUGCACACUCUCUUGGAUACUAGAGGUUUAACCCUGAAUAAAAGAAGCCCAGAAGUUUUGGGACGUAGUGAUAGAUACCAGCCCAUGGAUUAGUGUCACUGAUGUUUCUGACCCUAGGAUAUGGGACAAGAUAAUGGCAAGUGCACGGCAAGCUGAAGUGAGACAGGGGUAUACUUUACCAUGACAUUUUUUUCCUAUUGUGACAGCCAUUCAGCAAAGUUUAGGGCGCCCCGCAACAGAUCCUUGUCAUAUAAUGAUGGCCCUGAGGGAAGAUGAGGCUGUGAGAGACAGACAAGGGGAAAGCAGUGGGGGUGAAAAUCUACUUCAAAGCAAGAAACCACAGCAGGUGCAGGAAAGAGAGAGACAGGAAAUGGUACCGCUGGCCUUCAUAGUACAAGAAGAGGUGACCCCAAAUGGUGCAGGUGCACCUUCUACUGACAGGCAACGACUAUAUCCUUUUCUAAGACAAUGGCACCUGCUUCCUUAUGAGGCAAUGCCACAGCCAGCAAGGGACUAAGAAAUGACAAGGCCACAGACAGGCCCAAGCCAUGACCUCCCAGAAACCCAUUCCAGGAGGCCAGAGAUCCUUUUGAAGAUCUAUGUAGGAUAAGAGAUGAAAAGUGGGGUAAGAGGAUACCAGCCUUCCCAGUCAACAUGGACCCCCCACACAGCGCCCUGCCACUUGGUACCCACACAUGUUGGGCACCCUGAAAGAGUUGAAGAAGGCAAUAAAAGAGGAUGCACCCUGGGGGCCAUUUGCAGAGCAAAUGCUUAAAUCGCUCAGUCGCUCAGUCUUGAACUUAAUUGCACUCAGGACUGGAAGGACCUAGCCAGAGCAGCUCUUGAGCCGGCAACAUUUUUGAAGUAGAAGGCAUUCUUCUAUGAUGAAUGCGAACAGCAGGGAGAUCAUAACCACACCACAAAUGUUAACCUCCCAGCUGAAUGCCUGCAGGGAGAGGGAAUCUACUGUUCCCCUGUGGUACAAGCCACAGGCCCACCAAAUUGUUUCAAUCAGGUACGCCUCUGUGCUCUGAGAGACUGGAGGAAGCUACCAGCUGGGGGAGGCACAGGUUCUCUACAAGGCUUAAGGCAGAGAGCCACUCAGGACUUGCCACAGUUUAUUGACAGAGUAAACAAGGCAAUAGAAGAGAAGGUGUCUCAGGAAGGAGCUAGGGCAGCACUAACCAAGGGUUUGAUCUGGGAUGGACUAAAUAAGGAACAUAGAGCAGCAGCGGCACCAGUACGCAAUGGCACACUGGAUGAAUGGACUUUGGCCACCCAGGAUAGAGGGACACAAGCAGCUCAAGCCUCUCUGCUGGCCUCAGCCAUGGCAGUUGCAUAAAAGCAGGACUAAGGAGGCUUGCAGACAGCUAGUCAGAGAACGCAAAAAAUAUGCAUCUUUUCUCCCCAGUGGCUCUUUACAACCUGAUGGAGUGAAUCCCCAAGAGUUAAAAUCUAAUGCUUUUUGGCAAAUGGAUGUCACUCACUAUGCACCUUUUGGAAAUUUAAAAUACAUUCAUGUAAUCCUUGAUGUCUAUUCAGGCUGUGUAAUGGCCACAGCCUCCACAGGAGAAACCACAAAAAGUCAUCUCCCAUCUACUUCAAUGUUUUGGAAUUAUGGGUGUUCCUAUGUCUAUUAAGACUGACAAAGGGCCAGCCUACCCGAGCAAGACAUUUCAAGCAGAUUGCAAUGAAUGGCAUAUAUAGCACUUAACUGGAAUCCCCUAUAACCCCCAGACUCAAGGCAUCAUAGAAAGAACACACAAGGAAUUAAAGACCAUGCUAUAAAACAUGGGGGAAACUAUACCGAGUCUCCUUGCAAUGCCUUGAACAAAACUUUAUUUGCUUUAAAUUUUCUCUCAAUGUCAAAAUUUUCUAUGGAAACAGCAGCUCAUAAACAUUGGGUCCCCCUCAUGGGGCCCUCCCAUCUUCCUAUGGUCUCAUGGAAGGAUCCCAUAACAAAUGCAUGGGGUGGUCUGGGGCCCCUCCUAACCAUGGGUCAAGGGUUUGCAUAUGUUAACAGGAGCCUCACCCCAUCUGGGUGCCUGCCAGAAAGUCAAGCCCUGGACCCCCAGAACCACCAACCAAGAAGAUGAAGGAACUAACUCUGGAGGAAAAACCUCACAGGCAAAGAACUCAACAACACUAAUGGACCUCACAUAAAGUAACCUGGGGUGAUCUUAAAGGUCUUGUUGACCAAGCCACCAGAUUGGCCCCUUUGCCUGGUGGCAACCCCAUCUCUGGGCCUAUGAUGGUGGUCCUACUGUGUGCAAUGCUCACUGCUAACAGUGAAGCCUCCUGUCAGGUAAAUUGAGCUUUGGUUACUAGGCCACCACCUUUAGCAGUUGCUAAUUAGGAAGGGGCUUUACCUGAGCUCUUCUCUAAUAAUUCCAACCUUAUUGAUCCUGAGUUAUUCAUCCAGGAGGUGACAGUACCCUGGAACCAGCAUUUCCAUAGCUACUCUGCCCAUUUGUUUCUCUGUAGUAGAUAAUGAAACCUAUAAUCCAGACAGUCACCUCUGUUUUGCUCUUGUCAAUGAAAUUUUUGUAGAUAACUAUAAUAAGCCUUAUGUUGGGCUGUCUCUCACUGACCUUAGAGUUACAGUUAAUGCUACCUAUGGCCAUAGACUCCCCCAUGGCAAAUGCAAGAAACCCUUGCUGCCAACAUGCCCAACAACGCUUUUUGGAAAGCCCCCCACCCCCUUGGAUAAUGAUAGCAUCCCAUGGAAUCAAUGGGACACUGCCAUACCUUAUCUCCUUGAUGAGAGGAAUUUCUCUGGGGAAGGACAACGUCUAUGCUCCUGGGUGGGCACAGCUCCCUGGAAUGUAACUGAUGUGCCCAAAAACCAUAUUGGCCCCUGCAGUACCUACUACACAGGACGAGCCAUUACCAACCGUUAUGCAGGAAAUCAGUAUGGCAUGAUAGAUAUUAUGCCAGAAUAUUGUUGGCUGUUAAAGCCAUCAAAUGGGCAUCACCCUGCUGGAUGAAUAGGAUGAUAUUGAGUCCAGACCCUUACCAUUUGCCUUUAUGCCAAAUUAUACCCAUACCCUCUAUGCACAGGUGUGUGUUAUGCCACCCUUUGCCAUGCUAAUAAUCAAUGAUACUGAGGGUAUAAAUAUCACUCAAACAGAGAUCCCUUGUGCUGACAAUAUAUCCUGCUGGCUCACAAAUUGUCUAAUCCCUGCUAUGACAGCUAAACGUGUAUUUAUCCUCAGAGUGCCCCCAGCAGUCUGGCUUCCAGUGACCCUGUCCAGAGAGUGGAGGAGUCCAUGGGACAUGGAGAUGAAGAAUCUUCUACACCAGACAAGGCGUGCAAUUAGCCUUAUCAUCACUGGGAUUAUUGCCCUGGUGGCUGCCAUCGCUGCCACAGCCACUGCCGCUGCUUCGCUCACCCAGAAUAUCCAGAUGGCUCAGACUGUGGACAAUGUGUCUACUGCCAUGGCAGAAGCCUUUUCCAUUCAAAAUGACUUAAAUAACCUGUCCUGAGCCACUAUUUUAGUCAUUCGGCAAGCACUAGACCUCCACAGGAAUAACUAGAUAUUCUGUUUAUGUUGUAAAGGCUCACUUAUGACCCUGAAUUUCAUAGUAUUUGUGUCAUCCAAUAUGCUGUAUCUGAAAAUGUAACCUUACACUUCUCCAAUUUUUCUCAGUAUGUUAAAGGUGCUUGGGAUAUUGACUAUAUUAUGACCUUACUAAGGUAAUUGUUAAAAUCAAUGAGACUAAGGUGUCUAUCUUAACAACCUCUUCUUUCUUCCAGGGAUUGAAUAAACACUGGAAAAAUCUGAUAGCCAAAUUAACUUCUCCUUAUAAUGCUAUUAUCCUGGCCCUACUUUUUAAAAUAGUGAUAAUUUUUUUCUUGUGUUGUAAGACCCUUAUGUAACCAUGUAAAGGCCACCAAAAGAAUAAUAGCAAUGAUGGCUAAAGUCCUUGCCACACAGUCAGAGGGGAGAGAUGUGGGGACACGUGCAUGGAGUGCUGCAUACAUGGCAUGUGUUAAGGGCAUCUGAGUGGCAAACCUCUCCCCUCAUGCUAGGUGUGUAAGUGGCAAACCGCUUACCCUGUAGGCAUAGUCCUGGGUGUGAGGCCAUGUGUUGCAGUCCCUGUGCCUGCUCCAG